rnacentral:rRNA from 1 species
AACGAACGCUGGCGGCAUGCCUAACACAUGCAAGUCGAACGAGACCUUCGGGUCUAGUGGCGCACGGGUGCGUAACGCGUGGGAAUCUGCCCCUUGCUUCGGAAUAACAGUUAGAAAUGACUGCUAAUACCGGAUGAUGACUUCGGUCCAAAGAUUUAUCGGCAAGGGAUGAGCCCGCGUAGGAUUAGGUAGUUGGUGGGGUAAAGGCCUACCAAGCCGACGAUCCUUAGCUGGUCUGAGAGGAUGAUCAGCCACACUGGGACUGAGACACGGCCCAGACUCCUACGGGAGGCAGCAGUGGGGAAUAUUGGACAAUGGGCGCAAGCCUGAUCCAGCAAUGCCGCGUGAGUGAUGAAGGCCCUCGGGUCGUAAAGCUCUUUUACCAGGGAUGAUAAUGACAGUACCUGGGGAAUAAGCUCCGGCUAACUCCGUGCCAGCAGCCGCGGUAA